rnacentral:rRNA from 1 species
UACGUAGGUCCCGAGCGUUGUCCGGAUUUAUUGGGCGUAAAGCGAGCGCAGGCGGUUUCUUAAGUCUGAUGUGAAAGCCCACGGCUCAACCGUGGAAAGUCAUUGGAAACUGGGGAACUUGAGUGCAGAAGAGGAGAGUGGAAUUCCAUGUGUAGCGGUGAAAUGCGCAGAUAUUAGGAGGAAUACCUGUGGUGAAGGCGGC